UUUAGAUCUUCUUUUUCCACACUUUAAUCCUCUCUCUUAUUAGCUUAGACUUGGAGUUAGAUGCUUGAGAGGAUCUCUUCCCCCUCUCUUGUAAAGGUUUUCCUUGAGUUUUAAGGAGCUUGAAGGAGAAGAAGCAUUGGCUUGAGGCAAGGAGUUAGCCGAGGAUUAGCUUGUGAGGAAGAAAAAUCAUCAACUUGUCUUUUGCAGGUAGUAGGUGCGGCUGUGUGGCAGCGUGCUGAGCAUUUGCUACUAUUUUAUCUUUUAUGUAUCUUUUCAAUUGAUGUAUGUUUAUUUUUGGUCAUAGGCAUGUUGUUUGACUUAUAAAUCCAUUAGUGUGUAGUAAAUCUUGUUGCAUGGUUUUGUAUCUAAACAACUCUUAAACUCUUGUUGUAUCAGCUGUGUGCA